AACAAGGCGUACCUGCGGACCUGCGGAAGGAUCAUUACAGAGUUAUCCAACUCCCAAACCCAUGUGAACUUAUCUCUUUGUUGCCUCGGCGCAAGCUACCCGGGACCCAGCGCCCCGGGCGGCCCGCCGGCGGACAAACCAAAACUCUUGUUAUCUUAGUUGAUUAUCUGAGCGUCUUAUUUAAUAAGUCAAAACUUUCAACAACGGAUCU
rnacentral:misc_RNA from 1 species